GAAGAACGCUGGCGGCGUGCUUAACACAUGCAAGUCGAACGGAAAGGCCCUGCUUUUGUGGGGUGCUCGAGUGGCGAACGGGUGAGUAACACGUGAGUAACCUGCCCUUGACUUUGGGAUAACUUCAGGAAACUGGGGCUAAUACCGGAUAGGAGCUCCUGCUGCAUGGUGGGGGUUGGAAAGUUUCGGCGGUUGGGGAUGGACUCGCGGCUUAUCAGCUUGUUGGCGGGGUAGUGGCUUACCAAGGCUUUGACGGGUAGCCGGCCUGAGAGGGUGACCGGCCACAUUGGGACUGAGAUACGGCCCAGACUCCUACGGGAGGCAGCAGUGGGGAAUAUUGCACAAUGGGCGGAAGCCUGAUGCAGCAACGCCGCGUGCGGGAUGACGGCCUUCGGGUUGUAAACCGCUUUCGCCUGUGACGAAGCGUGAGUGACGGUAAUGGGUAAAGAAGCACCGGCUAACUACGUG
rnacentral:rRNA from 1 species